rnacentral:rRNA from 1 species
GACGUAGGGCGCGAGCGUUGUCCGGAUUUAUUGGGCGUAAAGAGCUCGUAGGCGGCUUGUCGCGUCGACUGUGAAAACCCGCGGCUCAACUGCGGGCCUGCAGCCGAUACGGGCAGGCUAGAGUUCGGUAGGGGAGAUUGGAAUUCCUGGUGUAGCGGUGGAAUGCGCAGAUAUCAGGAGGAACACCGAUGGCGAAGGCAGAUCUCUGGGCCGUAACUGACGCUGAGGAGCGAAAGCGUGGGGAGCGAACAGG